rnacentral:rRNA from 1 species
UACGUAGGUCCCGAGCGUUGUCCGGAAUUACUGGGUGUAAAGGGUGCGCAGGCGGUCUUGUGCGUCCGAAGUGAAAUAUCACGGCUUAACCGUGAGGGUGCUUUUGAAACGGCGAGACUUGAGUACGGGAGAGGAUGAUGGAAUUCCUGGUGUAGCAGUGAAAUGCGUAGAUAUGCGGAGGAACACCGAUGGCGAAGGCAAUCCCCUGGGCCUGCACUGACGCUCAUGCACGAAAGCGUGGGGAGCAACCAGG